rnacentral:rRNA from 1 species
AGAUUGAACGCUGGCGGCAUGCCUAACACAUGCAAGUCGAACGGGAGUAGCAAUACUCUAGUGGCGGACGGGUGAGGAAUACGUAGGAAUUUGCCCUUAAGUGGGGGAUAACCCGGGGAAACCCGGAUUAAUACCGCAUGACCUCGAAAGAGCAAAGUGGGGGAUCGCAAGACCUCACGCUUUUGGAGAAGCCUACGUCGGAUUAGCUAGUUGGUGAGGUAAUGGCUCACCAAGGCGACGAUCCGUAACUGGUCUGAGAGGAUGAUCAGUCACACCGGAACUGAGACACGGUCCGGACUCCUACGGGAGGCAGCAGUGGGAAUAGUUGGACAAUGGGCGCAAGCCUGACUCCAGCAAGUCGCCGCGUGUGUGAAGAAGUCCGUUCGGGUUAGUAA